rnacentral:rRNA from 1 species
GACGAACGCUGGCGGCGUGCCUAAUACAUGCAAGUCGAACGCAGUGGGGACGGGUGAGUAACACGUGGGUAACCUCCCAUCAGAGGGGAUAACACUUGGAAACAGGUGCUAAACCGAUACUGAUGGAUGGACCCGCGUUGCAUUAGCUAGUUGGUGAGGUAACGGCUCACCAAGGCCCCGAUGGAUAACCGACCUGCGAGGGGGAUCGGCAACACUGUGAAGUAGAUAUGGCCCAGAGUCCGACGGUAGGCAGCAGUAGGGAAUCUUCGGCAAUGGACGAAAGUCUGACCGAGCAACGCCGCGUGAGUGAAGAAGGUUUUCGGAUCGUAAAACUCUGUUGUUAGAGAAGCGGUAUCUAACCAGAAAGCCACGGCUAACUACGUGCCAGCAGCCGCGGUAAUUC